rnacentral:rRNA from 1 species
UACCCGCUGAGUUUAAGCAUAUCACUAAG